CAAAACAAAAAGCAAAAAUCAGGCCUCAGAGUUGUAUAACUGUAGUUAGAAGACCAAAUUCUUUCAAAGACAGAGAAUGCUAAUCCCUUGCUUCUUUCGGCAUUCUAUAUUCUAACUCUAUGGGGUGCAUUUUAUUUCAUAACCUGGAAAAAAAGAUGUUGUUGCAUUAACUUUGCAAGAUAUGGAAGGAGCUAGCAUUUGUUCAACGUCAGUUACACAACUGGUUAUUUUUCUAAACUUCUCCUCAUUUUAUCCUACAAAAAUCACCUAAGGUGAAUGAGGUUGUUAUUCUUAUUUUUUACAGUUGGGGAUACGAGGUUUUUUAAAGUAACUUGCCCAGAUUAAGUGGUGGAUCUGGGAUUCAGACUCACUGCUAUUAAAAACUAAAGACUGAGUCUUAUUUUCUAUGUUAGUGUUUCUCAAAUAUGCAUGGUAAGAGUUCAGCAGAUUGUGAAACCUCACUACUUUUUAAAAUAAAAUAGAAAAGAAGAGAAAAUAUCAGCAAGCAUGACAUGUUGAAGGGAUUGAGAAAGGGUGAGGCUAAGGUCCCGAGCCUUCGUGAAGCAAUGGAGAAAGUGCCGUCCCAAGGCUCAGUUCCACACGGCGCUGUGAGGCUGAAGGGGCUCACUGGAAGUUCCCCUCACAGGACGCCACCUCACCUGAAACCCUCUUUUUCUGCUACCAUCCAAGGGACAAGAUCUCCUGAGUUGUCGAAGACUCACUCCGGAAGAAAACCCUCUCAGGCAGUUACUGAGGGACUGUGGUCUGGACUAGAACGUGUUUUUCUCAGUGACACCUCUAGAGGGCAGCACUCAACGGAGUCCCACAGACACCUCCCUGCAUUUCCUCCUCAGACACUGGGUGGAUGAUAUGGUAACACUGGGGAAUGCUUGGGUGUUCUCCUGGAAGCUCCUUAUUUUAAUCACCUGUUUACUUGUCUCCAUUCUUAUAGAUAUGUAGGCUACCCGAGGGCAGAGACUGAGUCUGUCUUGUUCACUGUCUACCUCCAGAACCUCACACAGAAUCUGGCACUUAGUAGGUGCACAACAAAAUAAUCAUUGAAUUAGUAUACUGAGUCUUUAACAGAGUCUCUUUCUGUUUAUUGAGUUGACACGAUGUAUCCAAAAGCAGCUGAAUGCACAACUCAAACUGUCAUCCAAGCACACAAAGAAGGCAUUGAUG
rnacentral:lncRNA from 1 species